GAACUGAAGAGUUUGAUCCUGGCUCAGAUUGAACGCUGGCGGAAUGCUUUACACAUGCAAGUCGAGCGGCAGCGCGGGGGCAACCCUGGCGGCGAGCGGCGAACGGGUGAGUAACAUAUCGGAACGUACCCAGUCGUGGGGGAUAACUCUCCGAAAGGAUAGCUAAUACCGCAUACGUCCUGAGGGAGAAAGCGGGGGACCGUAAGGCCUCGCGCGAUUGGAGCGGCCGAU
rnacentral:rRNA from 1 species